rnacentral:rRNA from 1 species
GACAGAGGGUGCAAACGUUGUUCGGAUUUACUGGGCGUAAAGCGCGUGUAGGCGGCUUUGCAAGUCGGAUGUGAAAGCCCACGGCUCAACCGUGGAAGUGCAUCCGAAACUGCAUGGCUGGAGUCUCGGAGAGGAAGGUGGAAUGCUUGGUGUAGAGGUGAAAUUCGUAGAUAUCGGGAGGAACACCAAUGGCGAAGGCAGCUCGCUGGGACGUGACUGACGCUGAGACGCGAAAGCGUGGGGAGCAAACAGG